rnacentral:rRNA from 1 species
UACGGAGGGUGCAAGCGUUAUCCGGAUUCACUGGGUUUAAAGGGUGCGUAGGUGGGUCUGUAAGUCAGUGGUGAAAUCUCCGAGCUUAACUUGGAAACUGCCAUUGAUACUAUCAUUCUUGAAUCUCGUGGAGGUAAGCGGAAUAUGUCAUGUAGCGGUGAAAUGCUUAGAUAUGACAUAGAACACCGAUAGCGAAGGCAGCUUGCUACACGAGUAUUGACACUGAGGCACGAAAGCGUGGGGAUCAAACAGG